UCACCCCUCAAGCCUGGCUUGGUGUUGGACGGUUGGUUAUGGACACCGUAACCCCUCCUAAAGUGAACGACGGUGGCCUGUCGGACCCCCGGUACAUUGAGCGUCUUUGCAGAAGCACGUACCGGUUUAAAAGGUCCGAGGCGCCCGGUCUUCUUCCUUCGGUGGAAAACCCUUCUCCA
rnacentral:misc_RNA from 1 species